CACGGGGGGAGCAAGCGUUGUUCGGAAUUACUGGCGUAAAGGGCGUGCAGGCGGUCAGGUAAGUGGGAUGUGAAAUGCCCCGGCUCACCCGGGGACCGGCAUCUCAUACUGCUUGGCUUGAGUACGGGAGAGGAUGUGGGAAUUCCUGGUGUAGCGGUGAAAUGCGUAGAUAUCAGGAGGAACACCGGUGGCGAAGGCGCACAUCUGGCCCGAUACUGACGCUGAGGCGCGAAAGCUAGGGGAGCAAACGGG
rnacentral:rRNA from 1 species